AACGAGUCCGAUAGAAACCUCGUACAACGCUUCAGUGCCGAGCAAAUUCAGCAAUUGGCAAGGGCUAUUUACUCGCUCAACAAUAACGGUAAAAGUGACACGUUGGUUAGCUCUGCAGGUCUGCUUGCCCAUAACUCCUCUUCUAAUUCUGCUUUUACGAAACCAUGGAUUUUGGAUAGCGGAGCAACCCAUCACAUUGCAUCUGAUUCACAAUUUUUCACACACA
rnacentral:lncRNA from 1 species